AUAAGAAAAACCUAAGCUAAAGAAGGGCUCUACGCCGCAUCAGAAAUCAACAGCCCCCCAUCCGUUUGCGCCGUUCUGCGUACCAGGGGGCCUGCGGAGAGUCUCCGAUUCCGACCUACUCUCCGAUGACGACGGAGGAGGCCGGAAUCCCUCUGCCAGGUACAAAGGCCAGCUGGUGUAUGGAGGUGGCCGUACGGAGGCAUGCGUGGCGGGCGAAGGCAUCACGCGCGUGAGGAGUGGCUCGAAAGGGAGCCCAUGCAUGGCAGCGGCGGCUGAAGGGUUCCAGAAGCCCUAGUGAUUUCUGGAAUACUCUUUCCAGAUGGGCUAAUUGGGCUGAAUCAGGCUUCGGGUUAGGGUAGCGGAUUUGGGCUUGAAUUUUGGGUUUAAUGAUCUGGGUUUAAAUUUCUGUAAAUGGACAUUUUGGGAUAUUUAAUUAUUUUUUGGUCUUUA